GUUAAAUUAGAUGGCGACUCUGCAUUAAACGUAUUUAUUUAAUUAAUCGGCGAUCGUAUUUCACCAGAGGACUAAGAUAAAACAACUCGAUUUAAAAUGUGAGCAGUUUUAGUGGAUCUGACGUCGAGGGAAAAAGUAUUUCGCUUUUUGUUUGGAGCUGAACGAGACAACACGAGGGUAAGUGAUGACAGAUUUUCACAUUUCUUUAUUUAGUUAACUAUUAAAUAAGUAAAACAUUACAUUACAUUUAACCCAGCUUCUUUAUGUAACGUUAUGUCUGUGUUGCGUGUGGUAAUUGGAACAUCUUUAUUUUCUGACUAACGUUAGGCAUUUCACUUAAGCAUUUCAGAAAUCAUUAAAACCUUUCAUUUUUUUUUAGCACAGCGACAUAAAUAUGACCAACCAGAUCCCAAGUAGACAGGAACAAAUGAAGAUAUAGCGCAUAGAAAGACUUAUUCUUGGUGAUCAACUGCUAUUGACAUUUUUGAAUCGGGGCAAAUGUGGAGUGAAGAAAAACGUUUGCAACACAUCCAUUCCAGAGUGCUCUGACAGAUAAAACUGACACGCUUGAUGAGGACACAGUCAAGCUUUAAAAGCCCGUGUGAUAAAGCAGUCUUCAAUUACUACGGUGUCUGAAUUGCAAGAAGAAGUCACCCUCCACUUAAACAUGUGACAUCUAAACUGUUUUGUGUUUUAGUUCAGCUUUUUAUAGGUUUAUCUUAAGUUGGUUAAAGGCGGAGUGCACUAUUUUUGAAAGCCAAUGUUAACAUUUGAAAUUACCUAAACAAACAUGCCUCUACCCCAAUAGAAUCUGGACCUUCUUUUGAUAGAGCCACCACACACAUACGCAACCCCGGCAAGGAUGUCAGUUAGUAGACACGCCCCUUACUGCUGGUUGGCUUCAAAGUGUGUUUUGGUAGUCGGCCCAAUUUCCUUUUCCAAAGCGUUUUUCAAACAUUGUGCACUCCGUCUUUAAAUUGCACUUAAACAUUUUUUUUCAUUAACUUUUUAUGCAGAGAAUUACAUUAUGAUUAUUAUAUAAUCAUUGCUUAUGAAUAUUUAGUGAU